GACGAACGCUGGCGGCGUGCUUAACACAUGCAAGUCGAACGGAAAGGCCCUGCUUUUGUGGGGUGCUCGAGUGGCGAACGGGUGAGUAACACGUGAGUAACCCGCCCUUGACUUUGGGAUAACUUCAGGAAACUGGGGCUAAUACCGGAUAGGAGCUCCUGCUGCAUGGUGGUGGUUGGAAAGUUUCGGCGGUUCGGGAUGGAGUCGCGGCUUAUCAGCUUGUUGGUGGGGUAGUGGCUUACCAAGGCUUGGACGGGUAGCCGGCCUGAGAGGGUGACCGGCCACAUUGGGACUGAGGUACGGCCCAGACUCCUACGGGAGGCAACAGUGGGGAAUAUUGCACAAUGGGCGGAAGCCUGGUGCAGCAACGCCGCGUGCGGGAAAACGGCCUUCGGGUGGUAAACCGCUUUCGCCUGUGACGAAGCGUGAGUGACGGUAAUGGGUAAAGAAGCACCGGCUAACUACGUG
rnacentral:rRNA from 1 species